AUUGGUAGCUGUCCAGAGGAUUGAUCUUUGUGCAGACUGUCAUGGAAGUAUAUCUAUCUGAACUGACUGAACUGAUUUAUGUUCAAACUGAGCUUGCUAGAAGAUCGAGUUGUUUGAUGAAAAUAUGCAGCCAGGUAUGAGGGAGAUCCAUACGACUGCACUUCAGAUGAAAAGGUUCACAGUUUAAAUCCAACUCUGUCGUUAAUCACCACAGGGUCCAUUCGAGAGUGACGUUGUAGGUGAAAGCUACAAAAAAACCUGCAUAAAGUGGUCUUGUCAUGGAAAUGUUGUCUCUCUCUCCUGUUUCCGUCUAGAGUGUUCGUUUUUAUGGUUGUUAGUGAAAAGGCAUGAAAUGAUCUGUUGUUUGUAUGUAUGCGGGUUUGUCAGUAAUUUACUUGAUUGCAUUUUUCUACUCUUAAAAACACAACGAAAACUCUCUAAUCUAUAGGAAUGCAAGCAGUGUUGAAGAACAAGUAAUCUAUACUGGUUAGAUAGGAAUUGUCUCCCAUGUAAAGGCUGUUGAGGUUUUCCUUGAAUCUGUUUCCUUGGCUCUUCCUUCUAAGUCUGUUUCCUAUUUUGUAGGGGCCAACAUUAGGACUUAACUACUAUCUUAAUUUCCCAUCAGAAGAAUCAAAGUUGGGAACUGAUCUGCAAAAGAAGCUGUCGCGGCUCUGUAUUCUUGACCUUCUUACUUAAUUGAGCAUUACUGGUCUAUGAGGUAACGUUGCCUUCUGCUCUCACUAAUACAUGGAGCUGCUGAGUGUCUGUAACUGAACAGAGGAGACUGAAAAACCGAAGAAUAGAGUCUGAUGUUCUCUGAUCGGGGUAUGCAAAUUAUGAAGCCCUGUGACUGUAACUCCACUGGGCAGUACUCAUUAAGAGGCUACAUAUUCUGUGCAACCCCUCAGAAAGCAAAGUCUGAAGAAUACCACAAAGGAGAAUAGAAAUCACAGAGGAGCGAGCAAUGCCUCUCCCAUGCAUUAAGCGAAUAAGAUACUUCCACAAGACUAAACUGGCCCUGGCGGGAGUUAUUUUGCAUCCAAAGUGAAGUAACCGCUGCUUUGGGGGCCCAGUUCGGGAGCAGGGCAAGGACAGCGAGGGAGCCGAAGCGCCUCGCGGCUGAGAGGCCCGGAGACAAAAGAGAAGCCCCGCUCCGCGGCAGGACGCCUCUCCCGGCUAGGCUGACAAACCCACGCUGCCCGUUUAUCGCGCCCCGUCCCCACGCAGGACGCGGAGCUCCCGCCCGCCGCCCUCCCGCACCUGCGGAGGCAGCGGC
rnacentral:lncRNA from 1 species